GCCUUUUUACUGCUCGCAUGUUUGCUGUGUUUUUUUCUUUCUUCAAAACGUUUAGUUAGCGGUUUUUAAGGAUUCGAUCAUGAUGUUGAUAUUUUUUUCCAUUGGUUGGUCAGAUAUCACUUUUUGCCCUACGUAAUACCAGCAUGCGCGAAAUAUUACCUCCGUUGCUAUGGAAAUAUCGUAAUAUAAGAAAAUGUAUAUAGAAUAACUCUUACUCAUUGUAGUGGAUGGCGUUUGGGGAGCUUGGGGUGAUUGGUCUAUGUGUGAAAGGACUUGUGGCAAAAGUCAACAGGUAAGAGUGCGAGCGUGUGAUGACCCCGCACCAGCUCAUGGAGGAAUUGAUUGUAUUGGAAGCGGAAUCGAGUAUAGGAAUUGUUCCAUGAACCCAUGUCCGGUGUCAGGGGGCUGGAGUGUUUGGGCACCUUGGACUGCAUGCAGCAAGACGUGUGGUGUUGGUCUUCAGCGUCGGGAUCGUACGUGUUCGAAUCCGUAUCCUAGCCAUGGAGGUGAUCAUUGUUUCGGUGAAUCUGUUGAAGACAAAAUUUGUUACGGCAUGCCAUGCAUGGAUGGCGGUUGGUCUUCGUGGUCUACUUGGGGCACAUGCACGGUUACUUGUAAUGGCGGUCUAAAGUCUAGACAGCGCACGUGCAGUAACACAAAACCAUCGUUGCUGGGUAGACAGUGUGCAGGAAACAAUAUGGAAUAUGCCUCUUGUAAUUCUACAGUAUGUCCAGUUACAUCCACGACAAUGCGGGUUUAUUUCUCCGUGAACACGCCAACUUGUUUAUGCAUUGACAACAGCAAACACAGACUGGAAGUCGGCGUCUGCGUCAACCUUCGUACAUUGCGUCACUGGUGACGUCAUAGAUAUCUAGUGCGGCGGUUGGGAAUACGUGGAUCACAAUCAGACAUCGAUGUUCAGUGGUGCUCUAGUUUCAGCUGACUAGGGAGAAACAUAAAAGCUUAGAAAUAUCUUUUGUAUUUGUUAUUUUAUUUUUGAUAUAUUCAUUUUUUAACGUUAAGUAGGCUAACAUUAAUUUCUUCGAUUCGUUAGAUUUAUGAUAAAACGUCCUUGUCAAAUGAUGCAGACCUAGAUCCUACAUGUACGCGUAGAAAAAGGGCCAUAUGUACACAUAUACUUUAUAUGAUAUAAUAUAUCAAAGGGUGUAUUCCGUAAAAUUGUCUACAGGAUGUAACAAUUAUGGUGAAACAAAACAAUGUCCGCACUCACAUAUUUUCAUGAAAUGAAGAAAUUAUAAUAAAUUAUAAACUUUCCCAAUGUUUGUCAAAAAUAUCUACCUUGUAAUUUUCUUUUUGUAAAGCUGAGAAACCUCUAUGGACGCUCUUUUUUAAGUUCAUUUUACAAUAUCAUAUGUACUUCUUUACAAAUAACAGCAAAACGUUGUUGAAUUAUCUGCAUUUUGUAAGCCUAAAAAUGUAUUCUUGUCAAAUGCAAAUGUGUAUUUUCAAAAAGACCAUGAAUUAUAUCAAAACAGUCCACAGUCGCAAAAGAGAUGUUGUAAACGUUCAGCAUUAUUGUUGCAAAAACUGCAGUUUGGAUUAUCUUUGUAUUGUAUCUUAUAAAAAUGUCUGUUUGCGCCAACUAUUCUGUGUACAAUUCUGUAUUGAAAUGAUUGUAAAUGCGUGUUUUGGUAGUGUCAAAUAUAAGUGAAAACAUUAUGUUAAUUUCUUCAAAUUAAGUAUGUAUUGCGUCUAUGUUCCCAUUUAAGUUUACACUGUACAUAUAUUUUAUUUACCACACACCCGUGCCGAUUUUGCGACUCCGUAAAUAUGGUAUUGCACGGCCGUGCAUAUAUUUUGACGUGACGUCAUUAGCGUUAUACAAACAAAGAGUAAAGACGCGCUAAAUGUUAGCGUUAUAGCCAGAGGCUCGCAUAAUAUAAUUUUAUUCAAUUCGUGCAAUAAAUUCAGUAUUGAACUUACACUCAUUUAAUAUCCUCUAUUUAGGAAAUAGAUAUCAAUUCCGAGUGCAUUGUUGUAGAAUAAUGCACGGUUUGAGUUCAAAUGCGUAGUAAUAUAAUCACGAAGGCCGAUAUGCCUGAGUGAUUAAUUACAAAGCAUUUGAACGAAAACCGCGCAUUAUUUAGGAAAUAGAUAUCAAUUCUGAGUGCAUUGUUGUAGAAUAAUGCACGGUUUGAGUUCAAAUACGUAGUAAUAUAAUCACGAAGGCCGUAGGCCUGAGUGAUUAAUUACAAAGCAUUUGAACGAAAAUCGUGCAUUAUUAUACAAUAAUGCACGAAGAAUUAGUAUCUAUUUCCAUUCUAACACGUCAAGAAAAAAUAUAAUUAUUAUUAUAAAGUUGGACUUUAUGUUUGGUGGUUAAAUUUGUUUUCGCCCCGGAGUUUUCUAUUGUUUUCGCCCCGGAAUUUCCAAUAGAAACGUUCUUAAAAGGCUGUUCCAGUGGGUUGAAUAAAAUGUCGUUAAAUCUACCGUGUGUAGAAACAUUUUGAAUCUAAAGAAUUUUGUAAACGUUGAUAAAACUUUGUUUGUUUAAUUUAUUUCACUCUAUAAUUUUUCAAGCGAACUACAAAUUGUUAAAAGUGAAAUAAAUUGAAAACUUAAGUCGUUUGCGAUAUCAAAAUAGCGUACUUGAUUUGAUUGUUUUGCACGUGCUGUUUGGCGCUACAUUGUGACGUCACGUAAACAACACUUUAAACGUCUGUACAGCGUUAACGACUGAAUAAGAUAUAUUGGUGUUCGGAUUCAUUUUCUUAGUAAGACCAUUUUCUUUCAUUCUAGAUAGUUUUCACAACAAAAGUUCGACAAAAAAUUGUUUUUAUUUAUCAGAUUUUUUAAACAAAAUGGCGCCCUCAAUGUGAAAAUACACAGGGAGAUAAUAAGAACGUCGAGUGCAUUGUUGUAGAAUAAUGUACGCUUCCGGCCUUCUUUGUCUAUAUAGGCAAAUUUCCGAAAGUGAUAGAAUUUAAUAUACAAUGUAUUAUGCAUCGGUAGGAGACCUUUUUUUAAAUCUGAGAUACUAUUGUUGGAAAAAAGGUCUUGAGAAAUUUUUCAAACAUCUAACAGAACAACCAGCAAUUUUAAGAUGUUUUAUUACUGCGUUACAUGUAACGUGUUAUAUGCCUUGAAAAUGCAACAAUAUAGCACUCAAAUUAUACAUUUUAUUGAAUUCAUGGAUACAUAUACUAGUAAAUCACUAUUGCAGGCAAUAUUGUUAUGUCAUGUUCUACAAAAUACCAAUAUAUUAAUAUUGCGCUUAACCCAUUACGCGUGAUACACGCCUUUUAAUGCCUUUUUCAUCCCCUUUUUUGUUGUCUCUAAUGGUGAAAAAAUGCCUUAUUUAGGCCCCCAACACUUGUUUUUGUUUGAGAAAUGUUGUUAAAAAAGUGACCACUUUUUCGGCGCGGCCCCCAACCAAAAAAUACAUCAGGGGGUUGCCAGAAGGGGGAUGUGCCCAGAUUGAUCAUAAGGUUACGUGUAACCAACGCUGAAAAGCAUUUGACUCUAUCUCAAUCCAUUGAGACGUUGCAGCACUUUGAAAUCAAUUUUGAUGAAAAAAAUCAACGCAAAAUAGUUAAUUUUUGGCAAUUUUGAGAUGUCCCCUCGUUGCCAUGGUAACAGAAAAUUUAAGUCUGAGCAUGUUGUUUCAAGGGCAAUGGUCCAGUCAACAUUUGUGCCAAGUUUGAUUAGUGUUGAAGCAGUUUUUAUAGUAUUAUAGCAAAUUGAACUUGUGACGGGAUACUUUUCAAUGAAAACAGCCAUUUUUCACAAAAUGCUAAUGAAGUAAUGGGUUAAAUCAUUUAUUAGCAGGUUGUAUUUAGAUUGAAUGAAAAUCAUGACUUUGAAGUCAUCUGAAAUACAAAUAACGAAGUAACAAGAGUUCUCGACCUAAUAUUUAUAAAUAAAUGUCAAUUUACUUAAUGCAAAAAUGAUAUAUUUAUGCACUUUCAAAUACCACUCUCAUUAAUUUUGAUUUCAGUUGAAAUAAAUCGAAUAAAAUUAUGACUUAGACACAUAAAUAUUCCUUUGAAAUCAGCUUUAGAAGUUUAGAAAUGCGCAAAUAUAUAAUAAAACUUUUAAAAUAUGAUAAACAAGAUCAACAAGGAAAGGCGGCGUUCAAUGAACGCAACCCCCAUAUGACCAAGCAACAAGAAAGCCAACAUAGAUCAUAAAAGAAAAAUAAUAAAUGGAGAACACAUAUUGUGCUCCUUGUUGCCAAAACUAACUUUACAAAAACAUUAUUAUAGAUCGACUAAAUGUCAAAUGGUGAUACAUCAGUUACACUUAUUUUCCAUCCUUGACGAUCGUUCAGCACGACAUUGUUGUUGUGUAUACAUGUUGUUUCAUCUUUUUUGGCCCUUUUCAACUUGGUCGGUUCCAGUAUUCCAACUUGAAUAUUGUAAAAUCACCCUUAUGAUAUGUUGCCUGCUUUUUAGAUUUAUCUUUUGACGUCUUGUCCGUGAUAUGCAGGCUUCAUUACCUCAGAUCCCCUUUCAAAAUUCCAUUGAAUGGCACUACUGAAGGUUCCAUGAUAACCACCGUAAGAACACAUCUGCUGAUGUUUUCAAAUUCAAAUGUUUACCAUUUUCGUGUUAAAUGUUGAAUUCUGCUUAAGUAAGAGCUUGUGGCCGUGGACUGUAACUUGCACUUUUCAGUACCGUCCAUGAACAGGCUCAAUCAAACUGAGCCUGCAACAUUUUCAAUUUGGCCAUGUUGGGCUUUCUUUACGGAUUCUGUUUUUCUCUAUUUUAUUAAGUAAAGAUGCAUUUUAUUCAUCACAUUUUGCUUUUGCGUAAUUAUUACCUGUAGUACUUUCUUGGAUGCGUCUUUGAUGUAGAACUAUCACGAAAUUAAAGUUAAUGACCAUUUUAAGCUCUCCAUAUAUGCAUUUAAAAUUUAUCAUUAGAAAAGUCAAUAAAUCAAAUAGCAAUUAAUUAAAUGUUUCCUCGCUUACAGGAAGAUAUUGCUUCAAUUACCAAUUAAUUACUGAAUGAAAUGUUGGAAGAUACUUUAUGGUGCUAUGUCAUACAAUAAAAAAUCAGAAUCUGUAUAUAAAGGUAACCAUUGGUAAUAUGUCUGAUAAGUAAGGCUUCAAACAUGUUUUACCGCUGCAGUAACGAAGAAUAUUUCAACCAGUACUGAAACAACAUCAACGCGUUGGUAUAAUAAUUUAACAUAAAACAUAGAAAGGACUUUGUUCAUUAGUAAAUUGUGUAAAUAAGUUUUAUGUCAAAUGUGGCCAAGUGGCUGCUUUACAAACAUGCCGAGUACUUUACUUCAGUGAUGUUCUAUUUGUUUCUGGUCCUUUGUGAACAUUUAUUCCAAUACGUUAUUGUUAAAAAUUUAUUACAUCUUGAGACGGUGAUAGGGUGCUUAAGAAAUUUUGAUUUUUACAUUAUUUCUCAUUAAUAGACUCAAUCAAACCGAGUUUACAAAUUGCAAUUUACAUAUGAUGUUAUUGAUUGCUUUGAAAGAUUUAUCCAUGUCCAGAAGUUUUUUCUUAAAAUGAUGUUCACUGAAUGUUUUCGUUUCAGUUCAGUUACAUAAACGGUGGUUGAAAAGUUAAGAAGUGAGGCAGUCUACGUUAUACAUAUAUUCUGAAAAGAUGUUACAAGACCCAAAUAUCCAAAGCAAAAAGGAAAGUUCUAAUUUCCCCUCAACAAAGUUCCUAAAAACGAUGAUCAUUUCAGAAACGCAAAUGAAUUAUUUCUUUUUAUAGUAUAUUGUAGUGAUCUGAAAUUUACAACUAUAACUGUAACAUAACUGAACUACAUGAACUCAACUCCUUAUCUUAAUUGACUUGAACUUGAGACAUUACUUUUCUUCUUAUCUUCAAUAAUGAGGACAUGUUGACAUUUACUUGCUAUAAAACUUAUAAUGAGUUGUGUUGUACUAGAAAUCAAAACAGCAACCCAUAUAUACUGGUAAUUAGCCAAAUUUAAUCUAUCCUAUUUUAUCCAACAUGUUUUCCUUGUUUAUCCUCAAUUUUCACAAUGUGCAGCUCAAUCUAACUUCUAAGGAGGAAUUGUCACUUACACUCGUUACCUGUGAUUUUAAAUCAUAUUGUUAUUGUUUAUGAAUUAUUUAAGUCACUGUUUUGUCAAGUAACAAUGUCUAAUUCCAUGUAUUUUUGUAGUUAUGAUCCGUUUUCUUAGAAAAACGUGCUUCCACUUUAACUACAAGAUGCCAUAUUUGAACUGUUUCCGGUAUGUUACUUGGGACGACCGGCUACAGCUAAGUUAUUGUCGAAAUUCUGCGAUUUGACUUUUGGUGUAUUUUCUACGUUGUAAAGGUAUAACUUGUUUAAAAUAAUGUGACCAAAAAGUUCUAUGUCCAUUUUUAUUAUUUCAUAGGUCUAAGAGUCUAUGUUUAAAUUUCUAACCGUUUUGGUAAAUCAACAAAUAUUUCUUGGUCGUACCAACCAUUUUUUGGCCUCUACCACAACCACUUUGGUAAACCAACCACUUCAACCACUUUAUUUUGGUUCGGAUUUGUUCUGGGUAUAAAAGGGCCCGGACUUUUGGUUGAACAACUCAGUCUUGACCAGAACUUCAGAAGCAAAACCCGGUUUCGUUGAAUUACAAAUUUGAGCGGAAAAAAAUAAGUGCCGACUGCAACUUUACGUAUUAAAGUAAUUAAACUAUUAAUGAUAAAUAACGAUUUAUUUAUUCAGAUUAAACAGUUCUGAGCUAUUAUUAACACUUUACUUUUUGAAAUAAAUUAUUUAACUGCUUGUUGAAUUCAGUCACGGUUCACUGGUACGCUAUUUUUCGUGUACACGCGUUAGACACUAUGGUACAUUAAAUUAUAGGAAAUCAAACAGUUUUAACAUAAAUAGGACUUGAAAAUUCUUGAUGUUUUCUACUACAAAAAUUUACUUAUUUAUAUUAUCGUAUUGAAUCUGUUGCUGAAUAUUAAAAUACAAUUGUGCUCAUGUGUUGACAAUUUAUUAUUUUGUUAUUGUAACUUUGUUACAACCAAAAUAAACUUGCAAUUUACUACUGGAAUUAACAGUGUUUAAAUGUUACAGAGAAUUUAUUUAUCCCAAGAAAGAUAGAAGAACAUCGACAAAAUUCCAAUGAAUUGGGAGAAAAUAAACAUCCAUAUUCAGUGCCAUCCCUAAGCUAUCAUGUACCUUACAAAUACAUUCUCCUCAAAUAUAGGGGCUAUGAAUUUUAACUUCCCCAUGGUACAGGGGUAAUGCGCUCGUUUAGGGUGUGAGAGGUCAGGGGUUCAAAUCCCAGUCGAAGCAACUAUUUUUUAAAGUGUCUUUUUAAGAAAGUAGACACGAUAUGCAAUGAUAAUGUGUGGCUGUCAUAAAAAAUGAACAUAAUUAUUUUUUUGAUGCAACUCUAGUCAUGCAUUCCGUAUGUAUCAAACUCAAACUGUUAAAGUAAAAAAUCUAAACGCAGUCGCUGCAUCCCGGUACCCUGUUAAGAUGAAAUAAUUUAUAGUAUAUAAAAAUAAACUUAUACAGGAAAAUAGUUAAGAUGUACUGUACAUUACGAUUUAGAUUGCAAAGAUCAGAAAAUACAACAGAGCUUUCAGCCUUGAUUUAAUCAGGCGGUGGAGAAAUGUCACUCUUUCCCGGGCCUGGGAACAUCUUAUCUAUUGUAAUUUGUGAUGAAAGCAUGUAAUUUCUACAUAAAAUAUCCUACUUGAUGAAACAUGCAAUUUCUGGCAUUAUACUUUUAGUAAAUAAAAUCAAAACGACUUUAUACAUGUAGUUUUGAUUUUCUUAUUAUUUUUUAAUUCCUUAAGAGUCGAUAUUUAAUCUUCUUUACACCACAUUGUCCGCAGGCUAUAUACUCUUUUGUAAGUAUGACAACCAUGCCUAUUCAAUAACGGUCUUUUCAUAAUCAAUGCAAUUUUAUCACCUUUCUAGCGGCGGUUUUUCCGUUCAAUCAAUGUUUGAUACUAAACGGUGUACACAUAGAGAUUGUGUGCUCUAUUGUGAGCACAUUAUACAUGUUAUACACCCCUGAUGAAGGCGUAAUACGAACUUUCCAUGUUGUACACAUAUUUCUAGGCAUUAAAGUAAUAUUGAUAUUAAGUAAAUCAAUAAUGACUGCACAGUUAUUAUGCAAAUGACUGCACAACUGUAUUUGAUGUAUAGACUCGCAUAGUUCGAUAGCUAAUCAUUGUUUUCAUAAUGUUAAAUAACGGAAAAUAUGACAAAUGUAUUCAUCUCAACAAUAGUACAAAAAUCUGGUCUUAUUGUCUCUUUUUUAGAUACUUUGAGAUGAAAAACGUUUAUAUUAAUGCUUUUGAUAAGUUAGCGAUUUUAUUGUCUGCCUAUUUACAAUACCAGUAAUUGAUAAUACGAAUCCAUUUCAAUAACUUAUUUGCAAAUUUCAAUUGAAUAUAUCAAUCACUUCCAUCGGUCAAUUCACUUCAGAUUACUCAUGUCAGUUGAAUUGGUCAAAACUUUUGCUAAUUGAUAGAGGGAUAUGGUCAAAUUCUACUGCCAGUUUCUUUUGAUACCGUAAAUUAUUCGACUUUGAUGAUAAUCAAUUAAUAAUGAUAAAAUGGUUCGUUUUUUCUAAUUGGGUUAUUAUCGGAAACCGUGAUUUAUCAUGGUGAUGAAUGCGAAGACAAAUGAAAUGCCAUACAAUUAUUCUGUUUUAAUCACCGUCCGCAUUGCUGAAAGAAGAUCAUAAGAAUGGCCUCCGUCUGUCCGUCCGUACGACCUCAAAUGACGUUAUUGGGUUAACAUCCAUGUUCAUUCCGUACAGACGGUACUUAUGGGGAAAAAGAUUGCUUAUAGGGUGCAAAUACGUUGCUUAUGGGGUUUUAGAGAUCAAAGAAAAAAAACAUAAUGUCAACUCAGUAGGAACAUCCGUCUGUCCGUCCGUAACACUUUCGUUUCCGCUCCAUAACUUUUAAACCACUGAAAAACUUUUGAAAUAAGUUGGCACAAUUAAUAACCAUAGUAAAACAAUGUGCAGAGCGCAAUAAUUGGGUUGCUACCCCCAAGGUCAAGGUCACUCUUAAAGGUCAAAUUUUAAAAGCUCUUCAUUUCAUAAUAAAAGUCUACAUUUCGUGUUCGCUGCAUAACUUUUAAACUACUGAAUUUUCUUUAAAAUAGCUUGGCACAACUUAUCACCAUAAUGAGAUGUGCAGAACGCAAUAAAUGGGUUGCUACCCCAAGGUCAAGGUCACACUUAAAGGUCAAAUGUUAAAUAUUCUUCAUUUCAUAAUAAAAAGUCUAACAUCUCCUCAUAAACCGCUCAGCUAAUUUCAUCCAAACUUCACAGGAAUGUUACUUUGGUAGUCAAUUUUGAUAAAGUCAACUUUAAAAAAUGUUCAAAGAAUUUAAUUCAAAGCCGAACACUGGUUGCCAUGGCAACCGAAAGAAAAAACCUAAAUAUCUUCUUUUAGAAAAUCGAAAGAGCUAGAGCUUAAAUAUUUGGUAUGAUACAUCAUCUAGUCAAUGUCUACCAAGUUUGUCCAAAUAAAAGCCCUUGGAUAAAAAAAUUUGCCCCGCCCCAGGGGCUCAUAGUUUGACCCUUUAAGUAUAUAGUAAAAACUUAAAAGAUCCUCGUUUAGAAACCCCAAAGAGCUAAAGCUCAAAUAUUAACAUGAAACAUCAUCUAAUGAGUGUCUUCCAAGUUUGUUCAAAUAAGGGCCCUUGGGUUAAAAUUAGCCUCGCCCCAAGGGUCAUUGAUUUCCCUAUAUGUAUAUAGUCAAAACUUAAAAAAUCUUCUAAAAAAACCCCAAAGAGUUACAGCUUAGAUAUAUAUCAUGAAACAUCUUCUAAUGAGCGUCUUCCAAAUUUGUUCAAAUAAAAGCCCCUGGUUUAAAAAGGUUCUUGGCCCAAGGGCCUAUAAUUAUACAGGUGAGCAAUUUCAGGGUCAUCAUUGCCCUCUUGUUAACUUCGAAGAAAUGAUCACCAUUAUGACACCAUUGGCUAAGCACAAUUCUGAAGGUCAGGGUCCUACUUAAAGGUCCACUGUAAAAAGAUCUAUUUUUCAUGUCCGCUCUUAAACUUCUUGACAAUUCAAAGAUUUUAAAAUUACUUGGCACAAAUGAUCGUCACCAUGACAUUCAACAUCUAGGUUGCUACCCGCAAGGUCAAGGUUAUAUGUUCUCCACAUUUUUUUUUACUUUAUGAAAGAUGUCAAAUAACAUGGCACAAAUAAUUCCAAUCAUGAGACUUUGUGCUUAUGAUAUGCUAGGCAUAACAUCAAGGUCGUGGCUGUAAAAAGUUCACUGCGGAAGGCAAUUUAGCUGUCCUUCAGACUGCCUUGUUGUCUUUUAUAAAGUUUUUGUUUGUUGUUGUUUUUGUUGUGGUUUUUAUUUCCUUUUUCUCAUUUUUUUGUCGAUCUUGAGAUUGUUGACAUUUGUUCAUAUUGCAAAUCGAUUAGAUCUAAUAUUGUAUGGUUAGAAAGAAUACAAUUCACAUUAUUGAAUUAUUUACGGUGGGUAAUCAGUAAAAUAAUGUAACAGGUCAAGUUUUGUGUCAGAAGCCACUAAAAUAUAUUCGCCUUCAAGUAAUAAGGGAACUUGUCAACCAAUGCAAUAAUUACAAUCCGGUGAUUCCGUUUGUCGCAAUAGUUGAUUAGUCCAAAAAAAAUUUAACUUGCAAAUUGCAUGAUUUAUCGAUCUGUCAAAGCCUGAGAAAUUACAUAAUACUCUCCAGCUGCACUAAUGGAGGAAGACCUCCUCAGUUCAUUCAGUGCAUUAUGUCAUGCUCAUGCUGAAUAGUUGGAUUACUUCCGCACAUGGAAUAAACCAAAGUCCCUGUCGGAAAUCGACUCUACUCUCAUGUUCACUUUUACUCUUUUAUAUAUUGUAGUAAAAUUGCAAAAUGUAAUAAUUGAAUUACUUACACAACCCAUUAUAUCAUAAUUAUACGACCGAAUAAUGUAAACGUUAUCGUGUUCGACUUAUACUGGUAGUAUCAAAUAUAAACUGUUAUACAGUUGCAAGAAACUCGAAUCUUUGGGAUUAACAAAGGGGAGCGUUAUUCACAAAACUAAAUGGUCAUUGUUAUUUUCUUUACACUAUGUUAUAGCCCGCGGUCAUAAAUUCAGUGAGAAAAUAUAUUAAUUCGAAUUAUAUUGAUUCAUGAAAGUAACAAAACAUGAAAUAGUAAAAUAUUAGGCUUUUAGAAUUGGAAAAUAAAACAAAGAAAAUCACCGGGAAGUCGACUAUGCAUCUUUGGCUCAAGCAGGUGAGGUAGUUUCGACUCCUGAUGUAACUUUGAAUUUGUAAUACCCGAUGUAAGCCAAAGUCAUCUUUCCUGUUUCGGCACUAUAUGUCCUAUACUGUGUUUGUGCGCCGUAAAACCAAACAAACCAAAAUCGAGAAAAUAAGAAUUGAGCAAUAUAUUAUCGAAUGCUUCGUCAAGAUGGGCCUUUUCUAGACAGUACAAGUAAAUAGUAUUAACCUGUUAAGUACCCAGCACCGGUUGUUACACAAUAGCUCAAGGUGAUACACUGCCAGUACAUGAUGGUUCUGUCCUUUACAUCAUAUUGUAAAUAUAGUAAAAAAAAUAAAUGAUAGACUGAAUGAAACAUUCUCAUAUUCUGUAUCUGAUGAAUAUUUAGAAAAACACUCGCUGAUACCGGGUAGUGCACCCAAACACCGGUUUGCGCAGAUACUACUAUAAGAUUAUGACAUACG